AAAUCACGGCAGCAGAGUAUAGAGAAGUCCUGGAGGACGACCUGGUGCAGUCAGCAAGGGAACUGUAACUUGGGAAAAGAUUUGUUUCCAGCCAGAG